rnacentral:rRNA from 1 species
AAAUUGAAGAGUUUGAUCAUGGCUCAGAUUGAACGCUGGCGGCAGGCCUAACACAUGCAAGUCGAACGGUAACAGGAAGCAGCUUGCUGCUUCGCUGACGAGUGGCGGACGGGUGAGUAAUGUCUGGGAAACUGCCUGAUGGAGGGGGAUAACUACUGGAAACGGUAGCUAAUACCGCAUAACGUCGCAAGACCAAAGAGGGGGACCUUCGGGCCUCUUGCCAUCGGAUGUGCCCAGAUGGGAUUAGCUAGUAGGUGGGGUAACGGCUCACCUAGGCGACGAUCCCUAGCUGGUCUGAGAGGAUGACCAGCCACACUGGAACUGAGACACGGUCCAGACUCCUACGGGAGGCAGCAGUGGGGAAUAUUGCACAAUGGGCGCAAGCCUGAUGCAGCCAUGCCGCGUGUAUGAAGAAGGCCUUCGGGUUGUAAAGUACUUUCAGCGGGGAGGAAGGCGAUAAGGUUAAUAACCUUGUCGAUUGACGUUACCCGCAGAAGAAGCACCGGCUAACUCCGUGCCAGCAGCCGCGGUAAUACGGAGGGUGCAAGCGUUAAUCGGAAUUACUGGGCGUA